UGCAGAAGGAUUUGAAUGCUGGAAAUAAGAGGGUGAGAUGGAUAGAUAGAGCACCUUAUGCCUUACUGGAAAGGGAAUCCAGAGAUUACAACUAUAAGGCCAGAGCUUAUCAAGUGUAAUGUUUCCAGUAAACAAGAAUGAAAUACACGGAUCUACAAACAGGAUUGGAUCAAAGAGAGCAAGGCAGGAUACAAGAAAUCAUAUUGGCCAGUCUAUGCACCCAUAGGUACAAGAUCUACAUUGAAGGAUCAGCAUGGCCAGUUAGUGAGAAGUAUAUCAUAGCUUGUGAUUAAACCAAAAUACUACGACUUCUUUUCAAGGGUGUUGAUGCCCACUCAGCAUUAUUGGCCAGUUCGAGAUGACAUGUGCUAUGUGCAUCUAGCUGGUGGCCACCAGCUAAAAAGGUGAGAGCAGCCAUGAAGGACUUGCCAGUCGAACUAAAGUGAGAGCGGCCAUGAAGAAAGCUC